AACGCUGGCGGCGUGCCUAAUACAUGCAAGUCGAACGGUCUUUUCUAUGGAAGCUUGCUUCCACUGAAAAGAUAGUGGCGAACGGGUGAGUAACACGUGGGUAACCUGCCCAUAAGAGGGGGAGUAACAUCCGGAAACGGGUGCUAAUACCGCAUAGUUUUCUUGAUCGCAUGAUCGGGAAAGGAAAGACGGCCUUUGUGCUGUCGCUUAUGGAUGGACCCGCGGCGUAUUAGUUAGUUGGUGAGGUAACGGCUCACCAAGACGAUGAUACGUAGCCGACCUGAGAGGGCGAUCGGCCACAUUGGGACUGAGACACGGCCCAAACUCCUACGGGAGGCAGCAGUAGGGAAUCUUCCGCAAUGGACGAAAGUCUGACGGAGCAACGCCGCGUGAGUGAAGAAAAGGGUUUUCGGAUCGUAAAACUCUGUUGUCAGAGAAGAACAAGUUGGAGAGUAACUGCUCCAGCCUUGACGGUAUCUGACCAGAAAGCCACGGCUAACUACGUGCCAGCAGCCGC
rnacentral:rRNA from 1 species